rnacentral:rRNA from 1 species
UACGAAGGGGGCUAGCGUUGUUCGGAAUUACUGGGCGUAAAGGGCGCGCAGGCGGCUCAGACAGUCAGAUGUGAAAGCCCCGGGCUUAACCUGGGAACUGCAUUUGAUACUACUGAGCUUGAGUACGGGAGAGGAUAGUGGAAUUCCCAGUGUAGAGGUGAAAUUCGUAGAUAUUGGGAAGAACACCGGUGGCGAAGGCGGCGACCUGGUCCGACACUGACGCUGAGGCGCGAAAGCGUGGGGAGCAAACAGG